CACCACUAAUGGUUUCACAUUCACACCACCUUGAAUGUAAAUCCUCUCAAAAUUAUUCUCAUUCACACGCGUUUCAACAGAAGUUGAGAAACAUUGAACAUUGAAUCCCUGAAACCCUAGUAUUCGAAAAGGGUUGUGAUUGUUGGUGUGGUUAAGAUUGAGACGAGGUUGAAGAAAAUCAUUAGCAUGGGGAAGUAACGGGGGCCGAAAAAUCGAUGAAUUUGAAGAACUAGUGAGGAUUCUACGCGCGGAAUUUAUAGCGCGGUUGCGAAUUAGGAUUAUUGUGUUCAUCACGGAAGAAU
rnacentral:lncRNA from 1 species